CUUUUCUUCUGAGUUUUCACCUCACCUUUCCAUCUUGUGUGUUUGUACUUUCUAAUGAAGGCACAGGGCAUAAUCCAAGAUCUCAGACACACCUGUCCUGUCAUUUGUUCAUCCUGAGAAUUCAAGGAACACUGCCUCAGUUUCUGCAUGCCUAUCUCAGAGCUUAUAAAUAGGUGGAGAAAUUACUAUGAAGGCCCCAGUGCAGAAUGCCUGAGAGAGCAGGGUCCUGUUGUGCCACUUGAUUGAGCAGAAAUAGCUUCUGUUAACAUGCAACCUCUGGGUCAUGGAAAAUCCUUUUUUCAUAAAAAGAGAGAAGUUGUUCUGGGAAAGAUGGAAAAAUCUAAACUGGAGAUAAAAUAUCAGAUUUAAGAAAGGAUGCAACUUGGUGCAGCAUUUGAGUAAAAGAAACUUGUAAAAUCAU
rnacentral:lncRNA from 1 species